AUAUAAUUCUGUAUUCUCAUCUGCUAGGAACUCUGCUAUCUCUAAUAUCAAUGGGGUUUGCUCCCACUUCGCAUCUAAUAGUGUUGUAACGGAUUUCCCUUUGUGUUUGGCUCUUGAAUCUUGGGAACAGCUUAGAACAAUAAAUAAUUGGAGAAGGAAGUAGCAAACGUGUGUCACCCGGCCGUCAAAACAAACCGGCGUCACCAACUGUCAAUUUUACUGUCAAACUUCACCCAAUGACAGACCGACACCUGCGUUUCAAGCAGCGAAUCAUAGCAAAGAUCAAACAACAAACUUCUCCUAUUCAUUGCAUAAUAAAGGAUAAGCCUUAGGUUGAAAACUUAAGCUGUAUUUUCAUGCAUCCGUCAUACGAUGAUACGAAAUCGUUUCUUAUAUUGGAAAUGCUGUGUUCUUAUUUAUUAAGAAAUUACUUUAUUCUUAAA